rnacentral:misc_RNA from 1 species
CAAAAGUUUAACGCUUUGGGAAUGGACUCGCUCCUGUUAAACGGAGCUUGAGACCGGACCCUUUGCGGAACAAAACUUUCAACCACUUGUGAACUUGUAAUUUAUUUCUCACCAAUUGACUGUUAUCGAAGUCUGACUCAAUUGAUUAUUGGUGUUUAAAGACACUAGUUUAAUUAUUGAAA